UACGUAGGGUGCAAGCGUUGUCCGGAUUUAUUGGGCGUAAAGAGCUCGUAGGUGGCCUGUCGCGUCGGCUGUGAAAACUCGGGGCUCAACUCCGAGCUUGCAGUCGAUACGGGCAGGCUAGAGUUCGGCAGGGGAGACUGGAAUUCCUGGUGUAGCGGUGAAAUGCGCAGAUAUCAGGAGGAACACCGGUGGCGAAGGCGGGUCUCUGGGCCGAUACUGACACUGAGGAGCGAAAGCGUGGGGAGCGAACAGG
rnacentral:rRNA from 1 species